rnacentral:rRNA from 1 species
CCCUUAGAUGUUCUGGGCCGCACGCGCGCUACACUGAUGCAUUCAACAAGCCUAGCCUUGACCGAGAGGUCCGGGUAAUCUUUGAAACUGCAUCGUGAUGGGGCUAGAUUAUUGCAAUUAUUAAUCUUCAACGAGGAAUGCCUAGUAAGCGUGAUUCAUCAAAUCGCGUUGAUUACGUCCCUGCCCUUUGUACACACCGCCCGUCGCUCCUACCGAUUGAAUGUGUUGGUGAGGAGCUCGGAUUGGCAGCAGUUGGUGGUUCGCCACCGGCUAUUGCUGAGAAGUCCUCCAAACCGCCCCAUUUAGAGGAAGGAUAAGUCGUAACA